CGUCGACUUUAUAAAUCGUGAGGGUUCAAGUCCCUCUAUCCCCA
rnacentral:tRNA from 8 species